rfam:Phanerochaete carnosa HHB-10118-sp unplaced genomic scaffold PHACAscaffold_12, whole genome shotgun sequence.
GCCCGCCUAGCUCAAUCGGAUAGAGCGUCAGACUCUUAAGAGCGCGGGUGUAAAGCACGCGAUCCGAGUGCGAUCUGAAGGCUGCGAGUUCGACCCUCGCGGUGGGCU